rnacentral:tRNA from 1 species
GGCCCCAUAGCUCAGUGGUAGAGCAGGAAGCUCUUAACUUCAAGGUCGUUGGUUCAAAUCCAACUGGGGUCA